rnacentral:rRNA from 1 species
UACGUAGGGGGGCUAGCGUUGUCCGGAUUUAUUGGGCGUAAAGGGCUCGUAGGCGGCCAACUAAGUCGGAUGUGAAAUCCCCAGGCUUAACCUGGGAACUGCAUCCGAUACUGGAUGGCUUGAAUUCGGGAGAGGGAUGCAGAAUUCCAGGUGUAGCGGUGAAAUGCGUAGAUAUCUGGAGGAAUACCGGUGGCGAAGGCGGCAUCCUGGACCGACAUUGACGCUGAGGAGCGAAAGCUAGGGGAGCAAACGGG